GCAAGUCGUACGCUUCUUUUUCCACCGGAGCUUGCUCCACCGGAAAAAGAAGAGUGGCGAACGGGUGAGUAACACGUGGGUAACCUGCCCAUCAGAAGGGGAUAACACUUGGAAACAGGUGCUAAUACCGUAUAACAAUCGAAACCGCAUGGUUUUGAUUUGAAAGGCGCUUUCGGGUGUCGCUGAUGGAUGGACCCGCGGUGCAUUAGCUAGUUGGUGAGGUAACGGCUCACCAAGGCCACGAUGCAUAGCCGACCUGAGAGGGUGAUCGGCCACAUUGGGACUGAGACACGGCCCAAACUCCUACGGGAGGCAGCAGUAGGGAAUCUUCGGCAAUGGACGAAAGUCUGACCGAGCAACGCCGCGUGAGUGAAGAAGGUUUUCGGAUCGUAAAACUCUGUUGUUAGAGAAGAACAAGGAUGAGAGUAACUGUUCAUCCCUUGACGGUAUCUAACCAGAAAGCCACGGCUAACUACGUGCCAGCAGCCGCGGUAAUACGUAGGUGGCAAGCGUUGUCCGGAUUUAUUGGGCGUAAAGCGAGCGCAGGCGGUUUCUUAAGUCUGAUGUGAAAGCCCCCGGCUCAACCGGGGAGGGUCAUUGGAAACUGGGAGACUUGAGUGCAGAAGAGGAGAGUGGAAUUCCAUGUGUAGCGGUGAAAUGCGUAGAUAUAUGGAGGAACACCAGUGGCGAAGGCGGCUCUCUGGUCUGUAACUGACGCUGAGGCUCGAAAGCGUGGGGAGCAAACAGGAUUAGAUACCCUGGUAGUCCACGCCGUAAACGAUGAGUGCUAAGUGUUGGAGGGUUUCCGCCCUUCAGUGCUGCAGCUAACGCCUUAAGCANUNCGCCUGGGGAGUACGACCGCAANGNUGNAANUCAAAGGAANUGACGGGGGCCCGNNCCAGCGGUGGAGCCUGUNG
rnacentral:rRNA from 1 species